UACGUAGGGUGCGAGCGUUGUCCGGAAUUAUUGGGCGUAAAGAGCUCGUAGGCGGUGUGUCGCGUCGGCCGUGAAAACCCGAGGCUCAACCUCGGGCCUGCAGCCGAUACGGGCAGACUAGAGUUCGGCAGGGGAGACUGGAAUUCCUGGUGUAGCGGUGAAAUGCGCAGAUAUCAGGAGGAACACCGGUGGCGAAGGCGGGUCUCUGGGCCGAUACUGACGCUGAGGAGCGAAAGCGUGGGGAGCGAACAGG
rnacentral:rRNA from 1 species